CACACACCCAACUCGUUAAUGUUCCAAAAUCUUUGUUCUUAAAAUGGCAAGCACUUCAGUUUUGUUGGUUUCUCUUUCCCUCAUCUUGAUCAAUAUAAUCACCUUACCUCUCCUAUCAACCGCCAUCUCCUCCUGCAACGGCGCUUGCAAAACCCUCAACGAUUGCGCGGGCCAGCUCAUUUGCAUCAACGGCAAGUGCAACGACGACCCUGAUAUUGGGUCUAAUGAAUGCGGGGGAGGGGGAGGCUCAUCAUCGCCACCUCCUACCACGAAUAAUUGUCAACCCUCAGGAACUCUAGUUUGCCAGGGACAAUCGUACCCUAAAUACACAUGCUCCCCGCCCGUGACGUCAUCCACUAAAGCCAGCCUUACCCUCAACGAUUUCAGCGAAGGCGGGGACGGUGGUGGCCCGUCAUAUUGUGACGGAAAAUACCAUGCAAAUGGUGAGAGGGUUGUGGCACUUUCUACUGGGUGGUUUGAUAAUAAGUCGAGGUGCCUGAAGAUGAUAAGAAUUAGGGCAAGCAAUGGGAAGAGUGUGACAGCCAAAGUGGUGGAUGAAUGCGAUUCACAUGCUGGAUGUGAUGCAGAGCAUGCAGGUCAGCCGCCGUGUAGGAACGAUAUUGUUGAUGGGUCUGCGGCGGUAUGGAAUGCUUUGGGACUGAACCAAGAUUUGGGCGUUGUUCCUGUUACUUGGUCAAUGGCCUAGCUAGCCACAUAUUAACCUAAAUUAACGAAUAAAUUAAGGACAAUAAGUCUAUACAUAUGAUAAUGAUACGUUUCCACCAAGAAACAACAUUUGGAUUGGAUCAUGAAUUUGUAAUUUAUGGAUUACAUUUUCUAUCCUCGUUGUAUUAACUUUUGGAGCUG
rnacentral:lncRNA from 1 species